AGACGUCUACAUUAGAUACCCGCGUAGUCCCAGCCGUAAACUAUGCGCGUUAGGUGUAUCGGUGACCACGAGUUACCGAGGUGCCGAAGGGAAACCGCGAAACGUGCCGCCUGGGAAGUACGGUCGCAAGGCUAGAAACUUAAAGGAAUUGGCGGGGAGCACCACAACGGGUGGAGCCUGCGGUUUAAUUGGACUCAACGCCGGGAAGCUCACCGGAUAAGACAGCGGAAUGAUUGCCGGGCUGAAGACUCUGCAUGACUAGCUG
rnacentral:rRNA from 1 species